rnacentral:lncRNA from 1 species
CACAUACAUCUCAGAACCAAACGACCUCGGUCCACCACGAACCCUUACAACCUUAGCAUGCUUAGUUUUCCAAUCAUACCACAAUAGCUUCUCACCAUUCACUUCCAAUAACACCAUAUCACCACCUUUCGAAUAAACCAAAGGUCUCAAAAACAUAAAAGCACUAAUCCACUUAAUCGCAUGAACCGAAAACAUCUUACACCAAGAUUCCUUCACACCAUAUUCUUUCAUAACCCACACAUCAACACAAACAUGCUCAUAAUUACACAUUACACACAAGUUCCCCUCUAGAACCCCAACAUCAACCUGAAAGUUCAUACCCUUGUUCUCAUAAUCCGGCUGCGGCAAUUCGAAAAACUUAUCAUCCCUAAUAUCAAAACCAAGAACACAAUCUCUAAUACCAAGUUCACGCCUUUGCGGGACAAUCCAAUGCAAAGCGUGACCUGCAAAAACACCAUACCCUCUCCUAUUCAAAAUAUGAAAAAAGGGCUUGCUUAAUAACCUCAGCCGAAUCGGCAAACCCUCAAUCUUCUUCCACUUAUCAUUCUUUAAACUAUAAACCUUAACUUCAUACUCGCAACCCAAACCACCACCAUCGCCGCCGCCAUCUUCUCUAACGAACUGUGCCAUUCUCACCACUUUGUAAUCAUCACCAUAAGAAUCAUAACCAAACCCAUAAUAAACAUACCCAGCUGUCAUAUCCCGCCGUGGAAUCUCAGUUUCCGCCACAUAACAUUUCUUACACUCCCUUGUAGACAAAUUAUACACAGCAAUAUUUGUCUCAGAACGUCUCAAAAACACCAACCCAUUAACCGAACCAAUAACCUCCGUUCCACCACCGGAAUAAAGGGGAUGAUGUUUAACCUCCACCGCAUCAGAUAAAGCAUCAAAAUCAACAGCGAAAAGAUCCCACUCUUUGAGGAUGAUACUGUGAUUAGAUUUGGUAGUGGUAGAAUGGUUUAGAUGGAGAUUGAUGAAAUCCGGGCCGUCGAUUAAGGAACAAAUUGGCUUCGAUAGAGAUCGGAAACGGACGAGGGAUUUCACCGGAAGUUGAAGCAAAAUGUCGUGAAUGACCUCGUGUGGGAUUCUCGACAUUUUUUAAUGAAGAGGUUAGGUUGGUUAGUUCGUAGUUUGUUAUGUUGGGUUGCCUGCCGCUAUAUCUGAAAGCAAUCAAGUACAACUUGACAGCAUUUUGAGAGGUGGCCUUUUUGGGCAUGGGACUAAAAAGACAAGGACCCUACAAAAUCACCGGUAUCCAUAUUUAUGCUCGAGCGAUGGAUUAAUUGAAUUAAUUUAUAAAUUAGAAAAUCAACUUGGAAAUAUUUUAAAAUGAUAAGUUUAUUUUAAAAAAAAUUGAAAUGAUACAUUAUAGAUAAAAUAAAAAGAAUCUUCAAGUUAACUCAAUAAAAAACUUCACUGAAAUUUAAUUGGAUUAACCAAAUUGACUAGUAAAAUCAUUUGAAUUUUAUCACAUUAAUUUUUAAAAUAAUUAAAAAAAAACACAAACAAGAAUUGAGCCCCUUGUGUGUCAAAUAUUUUCAAAUUUCUUUUUAAAUUAUUAUUAUUAUUAUUCUAGAACUUCUAGACCAAUUUUUACAUAAUAAAGAAAGUAAAUUCUUCCUAAUCAAGUUUUAAACCGAACAUAUAUCAGAACAACAAAAUAAAGCUAAACCCCAGAAGGAUUAAAUUAACUUAGCUGACGAAUAGGAAUUGCAGAGAGACAAAAAGGCAUAAUAUAAUCAGAGGUACAUGACAAAGUCCCAUCCUAAUUGAAGCAUACUAAUCCAAAAUAAUAAUAAUAAUAAUAAAAGAACAAUAGUACUCUAGCUAUACCUCAUUCCCAGAGACGACAGUCUCGAGAAAAUCAUCAAGCCUUUUAUCAGGAGCAUCCAAUUCGUCACUUAUUCCAGGUGGACAUUGCUUACUUAAACCGAGAUGUGCCAUGAGAAGACAGACAUGAGUGAGUAGCUCCCCACCUCGGGCAAGUGCAUCAGCAUGCUCCUUCCAUCCACAAUGACUUGCAGCAUACAUCAGCAUUUCCACCCACACUUCACUUAUCAUUUCCCAUUUCUUUUCAUUUGCCCAACCAUCCUGUGUCUCCAAUGACUGCAAUGACACAGCAAGCAUGCAACCAUCUAGUAGGGCUGACUUUUCUUCGUCUUGCUCUUUAAUUUCCGUUAACAUGGUAGACGGACUUUGAAGCAAUUCAUAGAAAAAUGCUUUCACUUCAGCUUUGGGAAACGAUAAUGUAACCAAUUUAUAUUUGGAAAUGUUGGUCUCCGCUUCUUUAUUUUAUUGUAACCAAACCGAUAAUGUACACGGACUUUGAAGCUAAACCUCGAGGACUUGGUUGCCUGGCUUUAAUUUUCUGUAAUUUUUCUUUUUUGAUUGCUAGACUUCAGUCCUUGUACCUUUCUUUAAUUUUUGGACACAAUCUCUUGUUGUACUUUAUAUCAAUAUAUCAACUUGAUUAAGUAAUAAGGUAAAAGGUAUGGGGAAUUUAUUAUUCACCAACAUCCAAUCCAGUGUGGAUUACAACAGUAAUUUAUAGUGUAUUUUUUUUUAUUUUUUUUUUUAUUUUUUUUCUCAAAAUUAUCUUUAUUAAUUUUUCUUUUUUAAUAUUGAGCUGGUUAAAAAUUUUACUUUGUAAUUUUUUUUCUUUAAAAUAUUGUGAAUUACGUCGGUGUUUUCCCACAUGGUUUUUCUAUUUAUUUUUUUUAUUUUUUAAAAUUAUUUAUUGAUUUUAUUUUUUUAAUAUUGAGCUGAUUGAGAAUUUAGUUUAGUUUUUUUUCUCUUUAAAACAUGGUCGAUUGAUAUAGUAUUUCUCUACAUGGUUUUUUUGUUUUUUGUUUUUUUAUGAUUUUCUCCAAAAUUAUCUUUUUCUAUUUCAUUUUUUAAUAUUGAGCUGGUUAAGAAUUACAAUUACAAUAUGUGAGGGAAGCACUCUAGCUUUCCUCGCAAAUUACUAUGGAUUGCUACAAUGUUUUUUCCCACAUAGUUUUUUUUUUGUUUUUUUUCUAAAAUUAUCUUUGUCAAUUUUAUUUUUUUAAUAUUAAGCUGGUUAAGAAUUACAAAUACAAGUAAAUACAAGCAAGGUUAAAUCAUGUGGGGAAAACACUGUAACUUUCCUCAUAAAACACUAUAGAUUGAUACAGUUUUUCCUCACAUGGUUUUUUUUCCAGUUUUUUUAGUGUUUUUUUUUUGUAAUAUUUUUUAAAAAAUUAUCUUUGUUGAUGUUGUUGUUACCUAUUUUUGGGUUCCCAUAAAAAAAAUACAAUAUAUAUAUAUAUCAAAAAAAUAAUAGGAGUGAGAAAAUGAUGUUGGAAUGCCGAAAAAGUACCAAAAUUGGUUGAGGAGAUUCAAAAAUGCAAAAUUUUAAAAUUUGACAGUAUAUCAUUGCUGAUAAGAGCCCUGUUGACAAAGAAAAUUCAAUUUUGAAAAAAUAUAUUCAAAAUCAGAUGUUUAUAGACUCAAUUAAAUUUUAUCUAACGUUUAAUUGAAUUUAUGGAGGGUUUGAUUGCAAGAAAAAUUAAUUUUUAAGUCAAUUUGGUUUUUAUUUGGAAGAAAUUAAAGUUUAGGGGUCAAAUUAUAAUUUCAGAACUUGAAUGACCAAAACUGAAAAAUGGCCAUUUCACAUCCCAAUCGACGCCGUUUUAAGGGACAUUAUUCAUCAUCUUCUUCAUUUGCACCAGGGAACCGUUUCAGCAGAGGAAACAACUAGCCCCAGCUGCCCACGAUGCAAUACUGAAACGUAUGGCAUUUAUUCGGCUAUAAAGCCAAAGAAAGAAACGCCUGCUAAGCAUCCACGAAAGAGACGCCAACCGUUACCCAAGCUUGACACUGCAUGGCAUUCUCUGGCCUUAUAAAAGCCAGAGAAAGGCCAUGAUAGAAGGGGAGAAAAGAGAGAACAAAGGGAGAGAGCAGAACAGAGGAGGAAAACAGGGAGAACAGGGAGAAGCCGGAGGGAAAAGGAAGAAAACAGAGGGGGAAGAGGGCAGAAAGAAAAAUGAAAAAAAAAACACAAAAAAGAGUAAAAGAAAGAGUGGGAGUAUAGGGGAAAAGAGUAGGGGAGAAUCCAGAAGGGGACGAACAAAGAGAAGUGAAAAACAAUAGGCAUACCCUCGGCUUCUUCUUCAGUAGCAGUUCCAAAGCUUCAGCGACUACUUAACUAUAAAUCGAGCAUUUCAGAGAGAAAACCAGAGGAAGAAGCUAAAGAGAAUAACGAACAGCUAAAAGAAGUAAACACUAGAGACCAAAAGGAGAAGAACCAAACAGAAGCAAACAAGGAAGGAAAACGGAGGCUGGUGCCUCUGCACGGGGAAGAAGAAGAAAAACUGCAACAAACGCUGCCUGCCACUAUCAUAACCACUGCAAGGCAUCGUCGGCUUCCUCGACAUCGUUUCCGCCACCAGGUUUGUUCUCCUCGUCUCUGUGCAUGCGAUUCCAUUUUUGCAUUUUAAUGUUCACAGUAAAAUAGUAACAUUUGUAUUUUACUGUUCAAGUGAAUUAAUUCACUUGAACAGUACCAUUUGUAUAUGUUACUGAGUAUGCACGCGUGAGGAAGCUCAUUGGCUUUGGCAGUGACCCGGUUAGGCCUGCUGGGUCCAGCUUAGUCACAUGAACCGAGUUAGACCCAGAUAAAAAAAAAAUUCUAAAAACAUUUUCAAAAAAUUUAUGAUUUUCUCGUAUAUUUUUUACUGCAUUUUGAUCAAUAUUGAUUUGUAUUUUUAUAUUGUAAAUAUACAAAUCCAGUAUUAAAAUACUUAGUUUUUGUCAAAACAAAAAAAAAUAAUAAAAAAUAAAAUGUUUUGUUUUCAGGUAUACGACCAAGUCUCUCAAAAAUAAAAUAAAGAAAUCAUAUUAUAUUUUCAUACAACAAAAAAAAUUUCAAAAAUAUGUAUUAACAUGCAUUUUGGUUUUAAUAACCAGUUUAUUAAAGUUACGAGAACUAGGCUAAUAUUUCAAAAAUUUCAAAAAUAUUAUUUGUUUUCUUUUAAUAUCUGGGAUUACGAACUUAUACAUAAGACGUAUUUUGGAUAUUAAAUUCUUUUAUUGAUGUCAGAAUAGUUAGGUUUUACUCGGUAAGAUAAUAAUAUCCUUACUGAAGAUAACUUUUCUUAAACUAUAGACGGACCAACAACUAGAAAACACGACAAGACCUUAGAUUUUAUCAAAUAAUAAAACAAUGCAGCUUACCUUAGGUAGGACGUAUUUGGGGUGCUAAUAUCUUCCUUUUACGCAACCAGUCCCCAUACCAGAUCUCUGAGACUAGUUAGGAUUCUUAGUGACCAAAAUACUAGGUGGCGACUCCCAUUUCAUUUUUUCACUAAUAAAAGACAAGAAUUACUUGUCUCCUCAUAUUUUCCACAUUAGAAGAUACCAAUAUUAAGAGUAGACGUUAUCGCUGUGACGCUGCACACGUGUGACCAAUGUUAUUUUUUUAAUAUUAUAAUUAGAAGUCAUUAUAAAUAAGUCAUUACAAAUAAGGCUAAAUCAUGUAGGGAAACACUAUAGCUUUCAUCACAAAACACUAUGAAUUGUUACAGUGUUUCCAACAUGUUUUUUUUUGUGUUUUUUAUUUACUUUAUUUUUAAAAAAAUUGUCUCUGUUGAUUUUAUUUUUUUAAUAUUGAGCUGAUUGAGAAUUUAGCUUUGUAAUUUUUUUUCUUUAAAACACUGUGAAUUAUUGCAGUGUUUUCCCACAUUAUUUUUUUAUGAUUUUUUCCAAAAUUAUCUUUGUUGAUUUUUUUUUUAAUAUUGAGUUGGUUAAAAAUUAUAAUUACAAUAAAACUAAAUCAUAUGGGGAAAGUGUUGUUGUUUUCCUUACAAAACACUGUAAAUUGCAACAGUAUUUCUCUAGAUGGUUUUUUUUAUGAUUCUUUUUAAAAUUAUCUUUGUCGAUUGUAUUAGAAAAAACACUAUAGUUUUCCUCACAAAACAUUGUCAAUUGCUACAACGUUUUUUAUCAUAGGUUUUUUUCCUUCCAAAAUUAUUUUUGUCGAUUUUUUUAAUAUUAAGAUGGUAGAGAAUUUAGAUUUGUAAAAUUUUUUUUGUUUUUUAUUAACAGAAAAGCUAAAUCAUAUGGCGAAACCACUGUAUCUUUUCUUAUAAAACACUGUGGAUUGCUACAAAUUAUUUUGUUUAGUCUCUAAGUUUUUGAUCACCAACAUAACUUUUUUUUUCCAUCAUGAAAUAUUGGCUCCAUCAUACUUUUAGUUUCUAUUAAGCUUAUUUAGCGCUGGUUCAUAAUUAUAACACUAUCAAGUAUAUUUAUUUUAUAAGCCCACAGCAGCGCGCGGGCAUGCCAUCUCGUUAUCAUUAUUGCACGUGGAUGAUUGGCGUCAGCAAAUCAUUGGAGCUGCCAUAAAGUUCUCUGGUUUAGAGUCAUUAAAAAAUCCGAGUGUAUUGGUCUUAACAGAAAUUCAAAGGGUAAGAGACUGAUUGUAGUUAAAAAAUGUAUCAGUACUUCUAGCGGCAUUAUAUGGUUUGAAUGUGAUUUUAAGUUUUUGAUGGAUUUAUAACUGGUGAUCUGUCUAUAGCUUAGGAUGAGGAUUUAUUCAUGUAAAUAAAUAUGAUUUUUUUGAAUUCAUUAUAAGCUCAUGUCCUAAAUGAAUUCUUAUGGAAAUGAUCUAUAUAGGUGCCCUAACAAAGUUUAUCUAUCUUAAAAGGCGGAAGAGUUUUUCACCACUCAUGUGUUAUGGUGAAAAAUAAUUCCAAUUAAAAUUGAUGAAUAUUUAGAAGAAUUCUGAGAGGUCAACUUCUAAUAUUUAAAUAUCGAUCUCACUUGUAAGUCCAAUAUUUAUAUUAGAAUAUUGACCAUUAAUUCUUAUGAAUUAAAAUUUUAGUAAUUAUUGGAAUAUAGAUCAAAUUCUCAAGGAUUCAAUAAAUUUAUUAUUAAAUCCAAAAUGCAUACUGAAAAUUUUUAUUUUUAUUUUUUUAACAAGAUAUGAUUUUUGUAUAUUUUGAGAAACUUGAUCAUAUACAACACACAAAAAGAAUUUUUUUUUUUUUUUGAAAAAACAAUAGCUUGGAUUGCUCCACCCACUGUGAACUCUACUUCCUUGGUGCCAAAUUUAGGUCUUUAUUAUCUUCAUGUCUCCUCUUACAUCAAGAACAAGAAGAAACAACAGAGACAAAAACCAUGGAGGAUUAUAUUGGUGAGACCAAAUGUUUCUCAUUGAAGGCAAUCAAUUUCCUUUGUGCCUUAUAUAUUGGGAGCUCCCAUGUCUGAGACAAAAACUUAUUCCUGGUAGGUUAACUUAACUAAAGAUAAGAUGAUCGAGGUGUUUUUUUUCUUUAAAUAGCGUUGUCAAUUUUAUUUUUUUGUUUUAACAAACUAGUGCAUUUUGAAAACUAUUUGAGAAGAUAACAUAGAUUCAUGAAUUACGUUCAAAUUUAAGCUGUGUUGUUGAGAAUAAUACAUUCUAUAGAUUUCACGACCCACAGCCUAUAUCUUUUUGUUAUUUUUAAAAUAUAUUAUUUUUCCUCGUAUAUUUUUGAUACCUUCUAGUUUGUCAAAAACACAUUUUGGGCAGUGGUAUUUUUUUCUUUUUAAAAAAAAAACUACAAGUUGAUCGAUCCACUGAUUACGAGAUGCUCGGAAGGUCACUUUAUGAGUGCCUAGAAGGAAGCAACCCUCUCAGAAUAUGCCCAUUAUUUUACUUGAGGAGCAUCUUUUUUUACACUCUGAUUACAGCAGCUUGUAAGCAUUGCAGCAAGGCAAGGAAUUUGCUUUUUCACUUUUGGCACAAGGGAGGAGAGGGGGCAUGCCCGAAAUUGUAAAAAAGGCUGAAGUCGGUCUGAUGAAUCGACAAAGCUCAUGAAGAAAGAAACCAUGUAAAAAUGUUAAAAAGGACACAAAAACUAUUACUAAGAAUGGAUUGCACUUGAAGAAAUUACAAGCAUUGGCCUGGACGGCAAAAAAUAGCUUGUAUUGCCGCAUAAGCUUCCACAUGAAUUUCCUCCAUCCACACCAUCUGUGAAGAGACUAGAGAGCCUAGCAAAAUGGCCAGACCACAAACCCAUAAAUGAAUGGGACAAAACUGAAUCAAGGGGGACUCUUUCAAUUGACCAAAAGCAUAUAUUGCAGCUAUUUCAUGAAAGGUCUUGAACUGGUGAGCUUGAGAAUUGACCCCGUUCAAGCUUGAAUAGUCCUUGCAAUGAUGCUAGAAGAAUUGUACAGUGAAAUUGCUAAAAGGAAUGCUAUAAAAAUUGCUAAAUUGAAUGAGACAAAAAGGAAUGGUAACAUGACAAAAUCAGAUGUUUCCCAGAAAUUUUCAUAGCCAAAUCUAUAUUCAUUUCCACAUCACAGCAACAUAACUGUUGCUUCAAUACCACCAGGCCAGUGGAUUCAAUCUUCGGGUAAUUAGGGAGCCCCUGUGUGCUAUUUUGUUCAAAUUGACAAAUCCAAUGGUUCCAAUGGAUUUCCCCCAUGACACGGCAAAGUGCAUAUGCAAUGUCAUUAGAACAUGAGAACAAUAAAUUUCCACAGCAAGUACCCUGCGAGAUGUUCUAAUGACAUCUACCAGAUGCUUGGUCAACUUGAUAGAAACAAGCUACCAGGUCUUCUCAUGAACAUUAAAAGCAGAUAAAUUUGCAAUUAAGAAAGAAAAAACCCAUAAAUUUGUAGGCUUGUGGGUUGAUGACUUCAUUUUAUUCAUUUCAGAAAAGUUUCCUACAACUUUGAAAAGUAAACAGACUAGCUUCUCUGUCUGGGAAAACUAUACAUGAUUUCCAAAGUCUUCUUGCACUGUCGAGCCAUUAAGUAUCUGAUUAUUCUGAUCACAACAUGUCCUAAAAACAAACCUAGCAUUGCAUAGUACUUUCUACAGAAGGCACGGUAUGUUCAGCAUGAAGGAUUCUUCUCUCCAUUCGCUGUCUUCAAACUAGAAUGUAUCAAAGCAUUAGUUAAAGUGUGCCGUACAAAAAGCUUACCUUCUUCCAUUUUGGCCAUUGUCCUGUAUCCUUUUUCUCUAUUGGUCUUACAACUUCAGUUUGAACCCCACAGACAGGAAAUCAUCCCUGAGAGAAACAACUGACAUGAGGUACUAAAUCAAAAUAAGCAAAUGACCACAGGGUAUAUAAAUAAUCAAUCUUUCACCAAUCAUAAGCUGGUAGAUUGACUUGUACGUUGACUUGUCAUCCAAUUGAAAAAGAAGACUUCUCAUUGACUUGUUCCCCAAAUUGAAAAUGUAGACCGAUUCUCAUUGACUUGACACCCAAAUUUAAAAUUAAGGUCCCAACAACAAAUAGCAUAAGUUGGUAACAUGCUAUAGCUUAAAAAGAAAUAAAAACAACUCUACCUAUCAACAUUACUUGGAGUUCCAUUUCAUUACCAUCAAUAAAGUUAAAUGGCUUCAAGAGAAUCAAUCACAACAAAUUCACUCUAUUUUACCUCUUAUUCCUAUCUGUCUUGCUCUCCUCUACCUCCUCAUCUAGCUCUUGUUGCUUCUUCCAGCCAAUUCGAUCACCAUCAUUAAUCCUAAUAAGGCUUUCCACAUACAUUUCAGAACCAAACGAGCUCGGUCCACCACGAACCCUUACAACCUGAGCAUGCUUAUUUUUCCAAUCAUACCAAAAUAGCUUCUCACCAUUCACUUCCAAUAACACCUUACCACCAUCUUUCGAAUAAACCAAAGGUCUCAAAAACAUAAAAGCACUAAUCCACUUAAUCCCUUGAACCGAAAACAUCUUACACCAAGAUUCCUUCACGCCAUAUUCCUUCAUAACCCACACAUCAACACAAACAUGCUCAUGAUUACACAUUACACACAAAUUCCCCUCUAGAACCCCAACAUCAACCUGAAAGUUCAUACCCUUGUUCUCAUAAUCCGGCUGCGGCAAUUCGAAAAACUUAUCAUCCCUAAUAUCAAAACCAAGAACACAAUCUCUAAUACCAAGUUGACGCCUUUGCGGGACAAUCCAAUGCA